rnacentral:rRNA from 1 species
UACGGGGGGGGGCAAACGUUGUUCGGAAUUACUGGGCGUAAAGGGCUCGUAGGCGGCCAACUAAGUCGGACGUGAAAUCCCCAGGCUCAACCUGGGAACUGCGUCCGAUACUGGAUGGCUUGAAUCCGGGAGAGGGAUGCAGAAUUCCAGGUGUAGCGGUGAAAUGCGUAGAUAUCUGGAGGAAUACCGGUGGCGAAGGCGGCAUCCUGGACCGGCAUUGACGCUGAGGAGCGAAAGCCAGGGGAGCAAACGGG